AGAGUUUGAUCCUGGCUCAGGACAAACGCUGGCGGCGUGCCUAAUACAUGCAAGUCGAGCGAGCAGAACCAGCAGAUUUACUUCGGUAAUGACGCUGGGGAUGCGAGCGGCGGAUGGGUGAGUAACACGUGGGGAACCUGCCCCAUAGUCUGGGAUACCACUUGGAAACAGGUGCUAAUACCGG
rnacentral:rRNA from 1 species